GAUGAACGCUGGCGGCGUGCCUAAUACAUGCAAGUCGAGCGAACGGACGAGAAGCUUGCUUCUCUGAUGUUAGCGGCGGACGGGUGAGUAACACGUGGAUAACCUACCUAUAAGACUGGGAUAACUUCGGGAAGCCGUAGCUAAUACCGGAUAAUAUUUUGAACCGCAUGGUUCAAAGGUGAAAGACGGUCUUGCUGUCACUUAUAGAUGGAUCCGCGCUGCAUUAGCUAGUUGGUAAGGUAACGGCUUACCAAGGCAACGAUGCAUAGCCGACCUGAGAGGGUGAUCGGCCACACUGGAACUGAGACACGGUCCAGACUCCUACGGGAGGCAGCAGUAGGGAAUCUUCCGCAAUGGGCGAAAGCCUGACGGAGCAACGCCGCGUGAGUGAUGAAGGUCUUCGGAUCGUAAAACUCUGUUAUUAGGGAAGAACAUAUGUGUAAGUAACUGUGCACAUCUUGACGGUACCUAAUCAGAAAGCCACGGCUAACUACGUG
rnacentral:rRNA from 1 species